GAUCCUGGCUCAGGAUGAACGCUAGCUACAGGCUUAACACAUGCAAGUCGAGGGGCAGCAUGGUCUUAGCUUGCUAAGGCUGAUGGCGACCGGCGCACGGGUGAGUAACACGUAUCCAACCUGCCGUCUACUCUUGGCCAGCCUUCUGAAAGGAAGAUUAAUCCAAGAUGGCAUCAUGAGUCCGCAUGUUCACAUGAUUAAAGGUAUUCCGGUAGACGAUGGGG
rnacentral:rRNA from 1 species